rnacentral:misc_RNA from 1 species
UUUCUCUCUCUUCACUUUCUCCCUUUCUGCUUCUUUUUUUUUUCUCUCCCUGUUAGGGUUUCAGGGGGCGCCGCUUUUGCUUUGUUCGAUCUUCACAAGUUUCAGAUAUAAUAUGGCAAUGGAAGUCACCCAGAUCCUUCUUAAUGCACAGUCAGUUGAUUCAACAGUUCGGAAACAUUCCGAGGAAACUCUGAAACAGUUUCAGGAGCAAAAUCUUCCUGGUUUCUUGUUGUCUCUAUCUGGAGAGCUUGCUAAUGAAGAGAAGCCAGUUGACAGUCGUAAGUUGGCUGGUUUAAUACUUAAAAAUGCCUUGGAUGCCAAGGAACAGCAUAGGAAAUUUGAGCUUGUGCAAAGAUGGCUAUCACUUGAUAUGGCAGUGAAGGCCCAGAUAAAGACAUGUUUAUUACAGACACUCUCUUCUCCUGUGCCUGAUGCUCAUUCAACCGCAUCACAAGUCAUUGCUAAGGUUGCUGGCAUUGAGCUUCCUCAGAAGCAGUGGCCUGAGUUGAUUGGGUCACUCCUUUCAAAUAUUCACCAGGUCCCUGCUCAUGUCAAGCAAGCUACUUUGGAGACACUGGGUUAUUUAUGUGAAGAAGUUUCUCCCGAAGUUGUGGAUCAGGAUCAAGUAAAUAAAAUCCUUACAGCUGUAGUUCAGGGUAUGAACGCUGAAGAAGGAAACAAUGAUGUGAGGCUUGCUGCUACCCGAGCAUUAUAUAAUGCUCUUAGUUUUGCUCAAGCAAACUUCAACAAUGACAUGGAGCGUGACUUUAUAAUGAGAGUUGUAUGUGAGGCUACUCAAUCUCCAGAAGUCAAAAUUCGACAAGCUGCUUUUGAAUGUUUAGUCUCCAUUUCAUCAACAUACUACGAGAAAUUGGCUCCAUACAUCCAAGAUAUUUUUAACAUUACAGCAAAGGCUGUUAAAGAGGAUGUAGAGCCUGUUGCUCUUCAAGCUAUUGAAUUUUGGAGCUCAAUCUGUGAUGAGGAGAUUGAUAUUUUAGAAGAUUUUGGGGGUGAUUUCACUGCAGAUUCUGAUGUUCCCUGCUAUUAUUUCAUCAAGCAGGCUCUCCCUGCUCUUGUACCUAUGCUAUUAGAGACACUUCUUAAACAGGAAGAAGAUCAGGACCAGGAUGAAGGUGCUUGGAAUCUUGCAAUGGCUGGAGGCACUUGCCUUGGUCUGGUGGCCCGGACUGUAGGGGAUGAGAUUGUUCCACUCGUUAUGCCAUUCAUCCAAGAGAACAUUUCAAAGCCUGAUUGGAGACAAAGAGAGGCUGCAACAUAUGCCUUCGGUUCUAUUUUGGAAGGUCCUUCUCCUGACAAGUUGACACCUCUUGUUAAUGUUGCUUUGAACUUCAUGCUUACUGCGUUGACAAAGGAUCCCAAUAGCCAUGUGAAGGAUACGACUGCAUGGACUCUGGGAAGGAUAUUUGAGUUUCUUCAUGGUUCUACAGUGGAGACACCCAUUAUUACUCCUGCAAAUUGCCAGCUGAUAAUCACAGUUCUACUUCAGGCCAUGAAAGAUGCUCCUAACGUUGCUGAAAAAUCCUGUGGUGCUCUCUAUUUCCUUGCUCAAGGCUAUGAGGAUAUGGGUGCAUCAUCUCCCUUGACACCUUUUUUCCAGGAAAUCGUGCAAGCACUUCUUACAGUUACCCACAGAGAAGAUGCUGGUGAGUCGCGACUCAGGACUGCUGCUUAUGAGGCAUUGAAUGAAGUAGUUAGGUGUUCAACGGAUGAAACAGCUCCAAUGGUUUUGCAGCUGGCUCCUAUCAUUAUGACAGAGCUGCACCAGACUCUCGAAGGUCAGAAGCUUUCAUCUGACGAGAGAGAGAAGCAGAGUGAGUUGCAAGGUCUUCUGUGUGGUUGCUUACAGGUCAUUAUUCAGAAAUUGGGGGCUUCAGAGCCAACAAAGUUCGUUUUCAUGCAGUAUGCAGAUCAGAUCAUGAACCUUUUUCUUAGGGUUUUUGCAUGUAGAAAUGCUACGGUGCAUGAGGAAGCCAUGCUUGCCAUUGGAGCCCUAGCCUAUGCAACUGGUCCCGACUUUGCCAAGUACAUGCCUGAAUUUUACAAGUACCUGGAAAUGGGCCUUCAGAAUUUCGAGGAGUACCAAGUGUGUGCUGUUACGGUUGGUGUUGUUGGUGAUGUAUGCAGAGCUUUGGAAGAUAAGAUCCUACCUUACUGUGAUGGUAUAAUGACCCAGCUUCUCAAGGACCUGUCAAGUAACCAGCUGCAUCGAUCUGUAAAGCCUCCAAUAUUUUCAUGCCUUGGUGACAUAGCUUUGGCAAUAGGAGAAAAUUUUGAAAAGUACUUGAUGUAUGCCAUGCCAAUGCUCCAGAGUGCUGCUGAGCUGUCUGCCCACACAUCUGGUGCAGAUGAUGAGAUGGUAGAAUACACAAAUCUUCUGAGGAAUGGAAUCUUGGAGGCUUAUUCAGGGAUAUUUCAGGGCUUCAAGAAUUCC